rnacentral:rRNA from 1 species
UACGUAGGGUGCAAGCGUUAAUCGGAAUUACUGGGCGUAAAGCGUGCGCAGGCGGCUUUGCAAGACAGAUGUGAAAUCCCCGGGCUCAACCUGGGAACUGCAUUUGUGACUGCAAGGCUAGAGUACGGCAGAGGGGGAUGGAAUUCCGCGUAUAGCAGUGAAAUGCGUAGAUAUGCGGAGGAACACCAAUGGCGAAGGCAAUCCCCUGGGCCUGUACUGACGCUCAUGCACGAAAGCGUGGGGAGCAAACAGG